UACAGAGGGGGCAAGCGUUGUUCGGAAUUACUGGGCGUAAAGGGCGCGUAGGCGGCCUGUUAAGUCGAACGUGAAAUCCCCGGGCUCAACCCGGGAACUGCGUCCGAUACUGGGAGGCUUGAAUCCGGGAGAGGGAUGUGGAAUUCCAGGUGUAGCGGUGAAAUGCGUAGAUAUCUGGAGGAACACCGGUGGCGAAGGCGGCAUCCUGGACCGGUAUUGACGCUGAGGCGCGAAAGCCAGGGGAGCAAACGGG
rnacentral:rRNA from 1 species